AACAACUCCCUCUACUUCCAAACCGUCCUCCAAAAGUUCUUCAGGCACUCUCGCGAUCCGACUCCACAAACAUCGGUAACGUGGGACGAAUGAGCCGAGAUCUGAAGGAAUAAAUGCAUGCUUGAGAAGAAGAGAUGACUAAGCGACGCAUCUGUAUGAGGAGCCAUUGCAGGAUCACGGUAAUCUGGUUUAACCUCCAGUGUACCGUGGAAAGUAAAUUGUUGGUUUAAUAAGAAAGAACUGGCACAAGCCAACUGAAAAAAAUUCUUUCGUGAUCAUUGGAAUAUCACUGUUGUCAGUACAUAUGGCCGGUCAGUUUUCCAAUCAUGAAAACAUCUGUUCCUGUGCUGUGCACACCACAGACCUUGCAUAUGCAGCAAUAGACGUUUCUAAACAAGAUUAGGGAAACUCAAGAACAACCAUCAAUACUUCACUCCUGAUUAUAAAGAAAGAAAGAAAGAUAGAAAAACUUAAACAGCUUGCCGACAUCUGUAAAGUAUUAAAGACAUCACUUCAGUCUAUUACGAUGGACUUCAGGGGAUGAACAGAUGCCAACUCCAACCAUAAACAUUGGAUACUUCAUAUGCCACUGACUGAACCUUGGACUUAGGAUAGGCCUCACUGAAUUGGCCUGCUGGUUGAACUGCGAUGCACCUCAUCACCUUGGUCUAAUGAUGGAUACCUCCUUAUAAUAGAAUACAUAGACUUUCAAUUAUUUGCCAACAAAAGCCUUCAUUGGCCAACUAUCAAAGGACAAUGCAUCAAUGUGAACUUCUGCAGUUAAUCCAGGCUGAACUUCAUAGACAUUAGUCAUUAAUCUUACUGUUCAUACAGAAUCUUUGUAUAAACACUGGCCCUUAACACUUAGUUUACUAUUUUUAAACCAUGACCUGCACUGUACAUUAAUAACUAAUACUGGGAUUAUAUUCAUGCUGGCUAGCCAGAGGGGAACUGGCCCCCACAGUAAGCCUGGUUUCUCCCAAGGUUAUUUUUCUUCAUUAACCAGCAUCAUGGAGUUUUGUGUUCCUUGCCACAGUCGCCUUCAGCUUGCUCACAGUGGUUCUAAAUACAGUUAUUAUAUAAUUAUUUAUUUUUAUACACAAUUUACAAUCACAUUUAAUCAAACUACACAAUGAUGCCUCUAAGACUUUAUAGAUAUUACUGUUUUCAUUUUCUGUUAAUUAUUUUUUUGUAAAGCUGCUUUGAAACUAUGUGUGUUGUGAAAAGUUCUAUACAAAAAAAAAAA